rfam:Gorilla gorilla gorilla genomic chromosome, chr1, whole genome shotgun sequence
GAGAAAGUCAUCGUAGUUACGAAGUUGGCUUGAACCCAGUUUUGGGAGGUUCAAUUCCUUCCUUUCUCU